rnacentral:lncRNA from 1 species
AGUUAAAAGAUAGAACGAUCUAGUCAAGCGCCAUGUCUCUUAUUCUUAAUCAGCUAUAGCUCUGGAAUUUUUUGCAGAUUUUCAAAUAAAACUUAGAGAUUCCUUGUAUGACUCUCUCAGAUCUCUCUUUUGUGGUAUUUCUGGAUCCUUACCAAGGCAGUGAUGGUAUAUGCCUUCUCUCAUAGUAUGUGGUAUUUUUGGUAUGAGGCAUAGUGACCUUGCCUUCUCUCUCACCCUUCUCUAAUAAGGAUUUUGAUAUCUAGAGCUCAUAGGUGGGAGAAAAAGUAUACAUACUUACAAGACAUUUAUUGCAUAGUCAAACCAUGGAUCUUGAGAAACAAGUCAAUAAGUCAAAUCAAGAUGUGCAUGUGUGGUGAAUGAAUGGGAUAUGGUGAUGAUGGUGAUAAUAAUGGUGAAAGUCUAAUUCUACUUUUGCUCUUUUGAGGGGAUACAUACCUUUCUUGCUGUUUGAAACCUUUUUGAGGAGAAUGAGAUGCUCUAUAUUUUCUUUUUCUUUCCUCUCAGGUGGGUAUCUUGUACCCCUAUUUCUAGUGUCGGACACUUGUCCAUUUGUACCUCUCAACUCACUUUUUCUUUUCUUUCGAGGUUCCGGGCACUUGCCUCUUUUUAUUUCCUCAUAUCCUUUCUCUCUUCUUUUUUUCUUUUUUUAGAGCACUCAUCUCCUGAAAUAAUAUAGCAAGUGGUAGUGACCAAGAUAACUCGAGCAUUUAAUUCACAGAGAAAAAUAGAAAUAGGAGAAUGUUUUUGGCUAUUCUCUCCCGGAUUAGGAGUAAAAUACUUUUGGGUGGCUUUGGAGAUGGAAAUGAGUGGAUAUAUGUGGGGGUGUACUUCCGGAGUAGAAGCAGCAUGUGUGAGUGAACGUGCAAGUGAAUCUUGAUUUAACCACAUGACAAGCUCUUAAGGGUCUACACAGCUUGACCACACUCAAUGCUCAUAAGGAGUAAAAAGUAAAUAUGUGGCUCAAAGUAGCAAGCAUGUAUAUAUAGUUGUGGUAGGAAUCUAAACUCUCAUUAUACAGGAACUCAUCAUGUGAUAUUUAAAAGAUUUUCAAAGAUAAAAUUCUCCAGAAUUCUGGCAUCUCUAGGAACAGAUAAACAGUAGCUCAACCUUCCCAUAUCAUAUCCGUUAACAACUUAGACUUCAGAUCAAAUUCUCUUCCCACAAGUUCAGGUUUAGAGCAAGCUUUAAAUUUUAACAGUUAUGUCUAAACUUGAAAGAGAACUCAAAUUUUAAAAUUGGGCAGAGCAACUAUUCAUCAUAUCCAUGCUAGAGUUUUAUUAAGAUUCAGUUUAGCAUAGCCACUUUAUUUAUUUAUUAAGCAAACUAUGCAAAGAUAUAUGUAUAAGCACAAAAUCUUUAUUAGAUUUUUCAUGGUUAUGCAUAUUUUUAUUUUAAUACAGUAUAAGUAUAAAUGUAGAUAGAAAUACUUAGCGGGAGAAAUGGGGGUGCUCUCUCCCAAGCUAGAUUUUGACGUAAUUUCUUCUGAUGUAGCUAGCAGGUGGCAGACGUGUAUUUAAAUGUCGGCAGCACCCUGACAAUGAUUAGAAUGUCCUCCGUCUACUAGUCUUCUUGGUCCUUGAAUUCUGUGGAGAUCAAUUAGACAACAAAGCUUUGUGGAACUGAUUAGGUGUUAGCAUAAAUAUCUUAGCCUUUAUGAUGUUGAGCUUCCUCAAUAAAUGCUACUUCCUUUGGUAGGAUCACAAGUUUAUUUUUAUGUUUUCAUUUUUUUAUAGAACAGAACAAUUUAUUAUUAUGUUUUUAUGCCACCACAGUGAAUGUACUUAUGGAUUUUAUGCCACUUGUAUACUCACAUGGGGCUUACUAGUUUUAACAUUUUUAUUUUCUUUUUAGGAUAGUGUGAACAUAAUUAACUAAGAAAACUAUUUUAAAUAAUUGAAAGGAAAAGGAUAACUACCAAAUUUACCUCUUGGCAAGGCGUUCGGUGUUUUUAAGUCCUCCGAACGGGACUCUCUGUUUUCUGAGUCGUCCUGGGAUUCACUGGACGGCGUAGUCGGUGGUUGCGGCGGCGCCUCCUCUUCAUGUAUAACUAUCUUCUCUCUCCAUAGUUGACUCGGUGCUACGGUCUCCUCAAGAUAGUUCUGUUCAAGCUGUACGUCUUCAGACCUUAUCACUUCUCCUUCGUAGUCAGCCCAUCCGUCCUUGAUGAUUUGCCUCCUCUGGUUGCGGUUGCGUCGUCUUCUUCUUGUCCUAAGCUACUUAGAGUCUUCAACUAUAUAGUUAGGGUCAGUAAAAUAGCGGUGUACCUUCUCAGAGGGAAGUGCAUGUGGACUUCUCCGGUUCUAAUGUAGAUGAUUGCUAUAAUGGUGCUGAGGAACGGUCUUCCAAGGAUGAUGGGUGGAUCGUACUCGUCUUCUCCCUUGUCAAUAACCUGAAAAUCUGUAUGGAUAAAAUGAUCGUCUAUUUUGAUAGGGACAUCAGUUACUAUACCUUCAACCUUUCGGAAUUUCUAAUCUGCCAUCUGGAGCUGAAUGUAUGUCGGUUUUAGGGGCAUGGUUCCGAACAGGAGCUGAUAGGUGACUGCGGCCAUUAUGUUGACGCCCGAUCCGGUGUAGCAAAGUGUCUUGUAGAAGUUGAAUCCAUUGGAGCACUGGAUGCUUGGCAUACCUGGGUCGUCCUUCUUGGUUAGGU